rnacentral:lncRNA from 1 species
GUUACCAUUUUGUAUACUAUGACGCAAUACCAUGGACGCUCACGAGCUGGCGAUGGAAUUUCAAUUUUUAAAACUAACAGCAAGAAUGGAAACAGUCAGAGAUAUAUGGUAUAAACAACUCUGCUUGUUCAAACUGAUGGUCAAACCGAUGAACAGAUAAAUGGAAAUAGAUAACUUGUAGAUUAACUGGAAGAAACCGGGGAACGAUUGAAAUGAAAGUCAACGCAACGAAAGUGUUUUUGUUUUGAUGAGUGACUUGGAAAGGUAAAAAUAAAUUUAUCAUUCACAUUUUUUAAAUGGAUAAGCAGAAAGAUGUAAGCAUUAAAUUAUCUCCGUGUCGGCCAUAUACCGCCACACCAUGCACAUCGUCCAUUAGUCCGAGAUUACUCUGACGUCCAACACGGCAACAGCUGUUUUGCCAGACAAGCUGGGACCGUGGGACGUCCCCAGCUUUUCUGGCAAAACACCCGUUGUACGGCCCCAGCUUGUCUGGCAAAAUAGCCGUUAGACGUCAGAGUAAUCUCAGACUCAUCUCCAUACUCUGUAAAGACAUCUUCCAUACUUCAUGUACUUCAAGUUUUAGUUUCAUUGAGCAUGUUCAGUUUAUGGCAGAUUUUACAAUAAGAAGGAUUAUUGUUUUUUUGUACCAUCAAAAAAGCAAUUGCUGAAACUGUGAAACAGACUGUGUAAUGGAAGUAAUGCAUUUUAUGUUAUUGAAUAAAAUGUGUCUUUCUGAGUAAAUAAAAAUAAAAAUUACUCUGUGUUGGUUUUGUUUUGGAAUAUUGGACAUAUAGACAUCAUGACCUACUUUACUGACAUCCAGCUUAUUUGGAGUGGAAUUUUGAAGUAUUAUUUAUAAGUUGAGCCUUAUCACAUGGACUUAUAUUUUAAUAAAAAGUCUUCUUUUGUGUUUUAAUCAUAACUUUAAGGCAGUUUUAUUGUAAAGGUUAAAAAGGUAAUUUAAUAAUAUGUUUUAACGUCACGUUUUCCUCCAUUGUGGUAUGUCACGAUCGCAUUUUCUUGUUGGUUCUCAGACAGGCAUUGUAGUUAUUUUUAUCCGGGUUUUAUAAAUAAUUGAAAUAGCAAUCAUAUUAAAUUUGGAUGACGUAAGGGUCAAAGGACUUGAGGAAUCAAUAUCAUUGGCUGUUUUAUUUUUUGCGAACGUUACUACUUGAGGUUUCCGUCAAAUCAGUGCUCACGUAGUCCAACAUAUAUUUAAUCGUAACUCUCCUGUAUAGGAGUUACGAUAUCGCCCUUUGCAGAAAUUAGAUUCGGAGUCAGUUCUUCACGCGCGGUAGCCAAGAACGGUUAGUUGUAUGUAAUCGUUACAAGAUACCUAUGGUAUUCCGUCACAACAAGACGUGCGGUAACAAAAGUAAUGUUUAUGUAGAUGUUAUAAUGUUAUAUUACGAAGGUUUCAUGUGAUUCUUGAUAUAAACACACCUGGAAUCCUUCGUAUAGAAAAUCUAACAGACUGUAAAUUUUAUUUACUUCAGCAAUAUAUUAACAUCACUGUGUGCAUACAUUUGAACUUUAAAGAUGUGUUGCUCAUGUUACAUGUCAAUGUCCUAACGUUACUAAUUUUUGUUGCGUCACGUUACAACAUGAAAUAGGGAAACCAGAAAACACAAUACUGUAAAUCUGCCUUAUAUCAUAAAAUAUAAUAAUACAACACUAUCCGACAUAUGAAUGGUAUGUUUGUAUCUGGGAAAAGGGUAUCCGUUGUUACUAACUAAAUUUUUAUAGUACAAAUGUGCCAAAAAAUAGGGUCGCUGUUUCAUGCCCUGCUGGUUAGAACGGGGUCCCUUUUCAUGUCCUGCUUGUAAGAACAGGGUCGCUUUUUCAUGACAUUCUGGUGAGAACAGGGUCUUUUUUAUACAAAGUAUUUGUCUUCUAGGGGGGAGGAGGGUUGGAGUGGUCCUGAUUUCGAAAUCCCGAACAUAAAAACAUGAAAUCCAAAGGGGUGUGUCUUUUCAACACCAAAAACACCACCAAACACCCUGAAAACCAUUGACCACUAAGAAAAACUGUGAUAUAUACAAUAAAACGAUAAAACAAAUUAAAUUACUUAUAAUUUAAUCAACUUUUAGAUUUUUUAUGUUAAAAUCAAUAGUUAAUAUUAAACAGAUACAUGUACAAAAUGUAUAUCAUGUUAAAAGGAGGGGUGUUUAUGAAAAAUGCCAGUCGAGAGAAUGUUUAAUUUCAUGAGCCAUAAGGCGAGGGAAAUUCAUUCUCAAGACUGGUAUUUUUCGCAAAUACCCCUCGUUUUAUUCAAUAAUGAUAAAGUUUUUGAAAGUCGCCAGAACCUGCUAUAGCAUUUUACUCAGAAGGAAUGGUUUUUUAUAUAAUUGAUUAUGCUGUAUUUUAAAGAUUCAUAAGCAAAUAUAUAUUAUAUAUAAUAUGUACAAUAUCUUAUUGUUUUUUAGUAGUAUUGAUUAUACAGUCUCUUUGUUUAGGGGCCAGCUGAAGGACGCCUCCGGGUGCGGGAAUUUCUCGUUACAUUUGAGACCUGUUGGUGACCUUCUGCUGUUGUUUUUUCUAUGGUCGGGUUGUCUCUUUGAUACAUUCCCCAUUUCCAUUCUCAAUUUUAUCUCAUAAAUCUUUUAAGAUUGGCACAUACAAUGUGAAUUUAAAGUUUGUUGUUAUACAUGUAUGUUUUAUGUACCUGUAUGAAUAUUUUAUUGUGUAAUGAAUGUAAUUGUACAAAAUGUAUGUGGUGAGACUUAAAUAAAAUAUUUGAAUCUUGAAUAUUGAAAGCAAGACACAAAAGAAUUUUUACGGUGUAGGAAAUAAGUAUAUACAAGUCACUUUAUAAAGGGGGGAUGCUAUGUUAUUAUACUAUUUUUUUCAUGUCAUUUUCAUUUUGGAAAGGCAGAUCAUUAAUCGUGUGGCUGUAAUUCUAAAGAAAUUAAAAAUUUGGGCAUUAGAUUGUUUGAUAGACAUGAUAGAGUAAAAUCAUUUAAUGUAUAGAUAUUCCCCAUUUCCAUUCUCAAUUUUAUUAUCUAUAGGUGUAAUAAAGUCAGAACUGACAGAAUACAGCACAAAAUCGUGAUACAUACAAUGUAUAUACUUGCUGUCUGGUGUGAGCCAAGGCUCUGUGUUGAAGGCCGCACCUUGACCUAUAAUGGUUUACUUUUAUAAAUUGUUACUUGGAUGGAGAGUUGUCUCAUUGGCACUCAUACCACAUCUUCCUAUACAUAUGUACAUAUAACACAAAAAAACAAAUAUCCAUAGGUCAAUGUAUGAUUUUCAUUGAACAAAUUUAACAUCUUUGUAUAACUUCAAAUUUCAAAUUCCUUAAUUAAUAUCAUGUUUUUUGCCCAAAGAUUGGCAUUAAUUUAUUUAUUAAUCAAAACAAAAUCAGAGAUGCAAUAUAACCACUUUCUUUCAUAAAACUAUCAUAUUGAUCAUAGUGAUUUGAUGGCUGACAUGCAUAAAAAUAGAACAUUAGUGUGAAAUGCAAGAUUUGUCAAUUAUUUUAAAAACCUUUAUAACAAAGAAAAUCUGAUAGAGGCAGAACUGUCAGACAACUUCUAAUAGGAUUUGUAGCCCUGAAAUGACAAAUUUGACCUUUGUUUUGGUUUUUGUCUAUUACACAUGCAUGUAUCUGUAUUUAAAAAACUUUAAAACAGUAUAGAUUGAGAGAAAUUUUAAAUUGCAAAAAAUUGAAAAAUGAUCAGCAAGACAAGUUCUAAAAAUAAUAAAAUUGAGUUCGGAAAUAGGGAAUGUGUCAAAGAGGCAACAACUCAAACGUGUUAAUGUUAAGUUUAUGUGACAGUUUUUGUCGAGCCUGCAACUUUUGUUGCAGAAAGCUCGACAUAGGGAUAGUGAUCCGGCGGCAGCGUUAGCUACUUUUUUAAAGCUUUAUAUUUUAGAGGGUGGAAGACCUGGAUGCUUCAUACUUUGUAUAUAGAUGCAUGUUACGAAGUUUCCGUCAGUCACAUGUCAAAUGUCUUGACCUCUUUUCAUGGUUCAGUGACCACUUGAAAAAAAGUUCAGAUUUUUUGUAAUGUUGAAUUCUCUCUUAUUAUAAGUAAUAGGAUAAUUAUAUUUGGUAUGUGCGUACCUUGCAAGGUCCUCAUGCCCGUCAGACAGUUUUCACUUGAAUCGACCUCAUUUCAUGGAUCAGUGACAAGGUUAAGUUUUGGUGGUCAAGUCCAUACUCAGAUACUAUAAGCAAUAGGUCUAGUAUAUUCGGUGUAUGAAAGGACUGUAAGGUGUACAUGUCCAACUGGCAGUGUCAUCUGACCUUGACCUCAUUUUCAUGGUUCAGUGGUUAUAGUUAAGUUUUUGUGUUUUGGUCUGUUUUUUUUCUCAACUUUAUGCAAUAGAUCUACUUAUUUGGUGGUAUGGAAAUGAUUGUAAGAUGUACAUGUCUAGCGGGCAGAUGUCACGACCUUGACCUCAUUUUAAUGGUUGAGUGUCAAUAAGUUUUUGAGUUUUGGUCUUUAUCUAAUACUAUAUGCAUAGGUCAACUAUAUUUGGUGUAUGGAAAUAUUUUAUGAUCUAUAUGUCAGUCCCCCAGGUUUUAUUUGACCUCGACCUCAUUUUCACGGUUCAUUGCUCAGUGUUAAGUUUUUGUGUUUUGGUCUAUUUUUCUUAAACUAUAAGUAAUAGGUCAACUAUAUUUGUUGUAUGGAAGCAUUGUUAACUGUACUAUGUCUGCCUGGCAUGGUUCAUCUGACCUUGACCUCAUUUUCAUGGUUCAUUGGUCUUUGUUUUGUUAUCUUGGUUAAUGCUAAGUUUAUGUGACAGUUUUUAAUAAAGCUUUAUACUUAGGACUAUCAACAUAAUAUCAAUAAUUUGUAAAAGAAGGCGAGACAUUUCAGCGUGUGCACUCUUGUUGACAUAGGAGAAAUUUUUUAAGAUUUGUUAAAAUUCAUGAUUAUAAUUAGGUCAGUUUAAAAGAAAGCAAGAAAUAACUAACCAUAAACUUGUCAAUAAUACUUCUUAUUGGUUGAAGUAAGAUAUGUACUUCUCAUUUCCAAGGAGAUUAUAUAUUAACCAAGAGAAGCACAUAAACUUUGGCCUUGUCCGCAGUCAAUAUAUUUCUCUUGAUAUAACUUUUUGUGUAGUUUUAAAAGUUGACUAUGAAAUAAUCACUUAAAAUGACGGGUGAUUUUUUACUAAUCAUAGGGACAUAAGAUGGGUACAUAAUCCUUAAAUCAGUAAAUUAUAAUAAAAUCAAUGUUUUAAUUGUUUUAAUUUCAGAGGUCAUUUCUCCACAAAAACAUACAUAAUAGCGAUAAAGAAAAGGGGAAAAUAUUACAGAGACAGUACAUGGACACCAGCAUGAGCAAGUAAAGAUGAGGUAUUAUGUUAUAAAGCUAUAAAUGUUUUAUUAAGUUGUGACCUCAACCAAUCAAAUUAUAUCACCACUAAAUGGUCCAAGGACACAGUUAUCGUCCUUUGGUUUUUGUUGUUUACGAAUAUACAUGUAGUCCCUAGUGUAAACAGUGUAUAACUUGCAUGUUUUAUUUGAUACACUUUCCCAAUUUAUUUCUUGAUAUUAAAUGCAUGAAAUAUUAAGAAGGGGGAUGUGAUAUCAUGUUAAAAAAAUUUGGGUGCUGAAUCUUGGGUCAUUUGUUCCAGUUCAAAAAGGUCAAAUUUUAUCACGUCUGAAGCUGUCAAUCUGAAUUUUACACUACUCAACACAGAAUUGUCAAUAUUUUGAGUUUGAGCUGGUAGAAGUUUCUAUAAUGUUGAUAUUAUUUGUCUCACUGGUAGUACACUACACUGUAAAAGUCUUUUUGAGAAAGAGCAGGUGCGAUUUUUUAAUUUGAAUUUAUUGUCUAAAGAAAUGCACUACAAAAUAACUGUGUUCUUUGGCCAAAUGAAGUGGGUGGUAAACAGGAUUUUCCUUGACCAUAUUGUCAUGUAAACAUUAAAAAAUAACAUAGAAAAUAUGAUAAACAAAUCCAUCAAUUCACAUUGUAACAUAGUUGGAUUUCUUUGAUUUUUAUGAAAUUUGCUUAAAAAGUUGGUGGAAAACCAUGGUAUAUUAUAUGCAAAUUUAUGUUGUACCAUACUUUGCUAAUUAAAUAUGCAACCCAACUAGAAUCCAAAGGAAAAAGGGAGAGCUUCAGCCAUGGUAUAACAUAUUCAUUUUCAUGUUAUUCCAUGGCUGAAGCUCCACCUUUUUUUUUUUAAAUGUAUCCGCCUCUAAAAUAUUCAGGAAACUGUAAAACAUACUAAAAGGUCAAGAUCUUCAUUUGUUUUCAUUUUAUAAGAAAAAGCAAUAAAUUAUGUGUACCACAUUUCAAGAAACCCUUUUCAAACUAUAGGAUUGUUACGAAUUCCCUUAAUUUUAGAAACAAUUACUAAAUGUUUCUUCUUUCAAUUUUGAAAAAAAUAAAAUCUAAAACUAUCAUUUCCUUUGCGAAAAAUUCAAUUAAAUUUCGAUUUAAAAGGGGGGGGGGGGGGGUAUCUAUACAAAAAGGAAUAAAUAUCGGCUACAAAAUUUAAUAUCUGUGAAAAACAUGAUUAGGGGACGUACACUAUCUACGCCCCUGGAUCCGCCACUGUUAAAAUAUUGUUUUAUCAUUAACAUUGUGUUUUAAUAAAUAAUCUAAUAAAAUAACGGAAGAAAAGCAUUUUUCAAUUAGAUGAAAAUUCUGUAAAAUAUGAUUAAUUUGUAUGAUACAUUGAAAACCAAACAAAACACUUCUUACCGUCAUUAGAAUGAUUAUUUAAUCCUUGUCGCAGGAAUCCGACAUUUUUGUUUACCUCAGUCUGAUGACAUUAUGAAAUUACCUGCGCCUACAAUCAUACACGGGGCGCAAAACUAAAAUCCGACAUUUUCUUUACUUUCCGCACAUUCAGGGGUUCUAUUACACGAAAUACAGACGAUCAUACACGAAGCGCAAAAGUGACUUGCGCGAGCUUCCAUUUCAUUGGAUAAAACUGUAACGUGAUCAAUUUCCCAAUAUUAGUUGAAGGUCUUGAAGCUGUCAAUCAUUUAUUUAUAUUACAAAUUUUAUAUACCAUUGUCUUACUCAUUAACAUAUUUAAACAAACUCAUCCUUCGGAUUCGUUUGUUUAAAUAUGUUAACUCGUAAAAACCAUGGUAUAUAUAGUACUUACCACCAUAUCAAUUCAGUAAAGCUAUCAAUAAGAAAGUGUCACAAUGCCAGCAUCACACUUCAGCUUAAUCAAAAUUUGCACAACUGCGUUAACCCAUUGCACAUCAGCAUGACAUUUGCGGUUCAGAAUCCUACAUGUGAUUACUUUUGAAUUUCUUUUCUCAACAACAAAAAAAUAAUAUGGACACAUUCUUGUUUUUUCAUCCUUGAAGAUAUUGAUAGGAUAUUGUUUAAUCAUGACAAGUUACAGAUCCAGUUUAAAUUUUGUUAUGGUCUGAUGAUUUUGAGCAUUAAUAAUAGUCCUUGGUCUUACAAAAUUCACUUAAAUAAUUAAUUUUCUACACUUUUUUAUGCCCCACCUACGAUAGUAGAGGGGCAUUAUGUUUUCUGGCCUGUGCAUCCGUUCGUCCGUCUGUCCCGCUUUAGGUUAAAGUUUUUGAUCAAGGUAGUUUUGAUUAAGCUAAGUCCAAUCAACUUGAAACUUAGUACACAUGUUCAUUAUGAUAUAAUCUUUCUAAUUUUAAAGUCAAAUUAGACUUUUGACCCCAAUUUCACGGUCCACUGAACAUAGAAAAUGAAAGUGUCAGUUUCAGGUUAAAGUUUUUGGUUAAGGUAGUUUUUAAGGAAGUUGGAAGUCCAAUCAACAGGAAACUUAGUACACAUGUUCCCAUAUGGUAUGAUCUUUCUAAUUUUAAUGCCAAAUUAGAUUUUUUUUUCAAUUUCACGGUCCAUUGAACAUGGGAAAUGAUAGUGCGAGUGGGUCAUCCGUGUACUUUGGACACAUUCUUGUUUAAUCAUGCUUGAAGAUAUUGAUUUGAUAUUUGUUAUAUAGUUUACACCAUGACAAGUUAUAGAUAAAGUUAGAAAUUUGUUCCAAUACAAUGAAAUUUAACUGGUAAGGGACUAUAUUGCAAUGCAACACUGACAGAAUGCUUGUAAAUAUACAGAUGUUCAUGUAUCACUGUAAGUAAUAAUAAUAUUAACCUUAACUUGAUUAUUUUGCUUGUUUUAAAAUCAAGAUAAAUUGAUAGUUAGUUGUUUGAUAUAAUAAACUUUGCAUCUUGCUUUAUUUCAGAAUCUGCCAUGGAAAGAAACUGUUUAAAGAAGAAAAAAAAAGAUGAAGAAAUAGACUUUAACUUGUG